rnacentral:lncRNA from 1 species
AAUAUGUAUACGUCGAAGAAAACAGAUCUACUACACAAAAUACCUGGUCUGGAAUUGUGGGAGAAUGCUUGGAGGGAAAAUUACACGCGGUAUUUAUAGGCUGAACAUUCCCUCCAAAUCCUUCUCGGGCUAAUAAAUGUCAUUUGAGUGUCUUAAUUUAGCAUUUCCUCGUAUGAUUAAUCUCUUUAUUUGGAGGUUAUGC